AGAGUUUGAUCCUGGCUCAGGACGAACGCUGGCGGCGCGCUUAACACAUGCAAGUCGAGCGAUGAAAUUUCGACAGAUCCCUUCGGGGUGAAGAUGAAAUGGAUUAGCGGCGGACGGGUGAGUAACACGUGAGUAACCUGCCUUUGACAUUGGGAUAGCCUCGGGAAACUGGGAUUAAUACCAAAUGACACUAACUGGUCACAUGAUCAAUUAGUCAAAGAAAUUCGGUCAAAGAUGGACUCGCGGCUGAUUAGCUAGUUGGUGAGGUAACGGCCCACCAAGGCGACGAUCAGUAGCCGGCCUGAGAGGGUUAUCGGCCACAUUGGAACUGAGACACGGUCCAAACUCCUACGGGAGGCAGCAGUGGGGAAUAUUGCACAAUGGGGGAAACCCUGAUGCAGCGACGCCGCGUGAGCGAAGAAGGCCUUCGGGUCGUAAAGCUCUUUUAUGAGGGAAGAUAAUGACGGUACCUCAAGAAAAAGCCCCGGCUAACUACGUGCCAGCAGCCGCGGUAAUACGUAGGGGGCUAGCGUUGUCCGGAAUCACUGGGCGUAAAGGGUUCGCAGGCGGAAUAACAAGUCAGAUGUGAAAGGCAUGGGCUCAACCCAUGUAAGCAUUUGAAACUGUAAUUCUUGAGAAGUGGAGAGGUAAGUGGAAUUCCUAGUGUAGCGGUGAAAUGCGUAGAUAUUAGGAGGAAUACCUGUGGCGAAGGCGACUUACUGGACACAAAUCUGACGCUGAGGAACGAAAGCGUGGGUAGCAAACAGGAUUAGAUACCCUGGUAGUCCACGCCGUAAACGAUGAGUGCUAGGUGUCGGGGGAGACCUCGGUGCCGGCGUUAACACAAUAAGCACUCCGCCUGGGGAGUACGUGCGCAAGCAUGAAACUCAAAGGAAUUGACGGGGACCCGCACAAGCAGCGGAGCAUGUGGUUUAAUUCGACGCAACGCGAAGAACCUUACCAGGGCUUGACAUACUG
rnacentral:rRNA from 1 species